AAGGGCACCACAAGAACGCGUGGAGCAUGUGGCUUAAUUUGACUCAACGCGGGAAAUCUUACCAGGUCCAGACAUAUUGAGGAUUGACAGGCGAUAGUUUAUUAUAUAAUAAUAAGCAUAAAAAUGAUAGUCCUUUCAUGAUUAUAUGAUAGGUGGUGCAUGGCCGUUCUUAGUUCGUGGAGUGAUUUGUCUGCUUAAUUGCGUUUCAGUAAAAUAAAAUAUAUUUAAUAUAUAAUAAUAUUUUAGUUCUGCCUUUAUGGAUUUAAAGUGAACAUAUUAUUAUUAUUAAUAUAUAAUAAAUGAAUGCAACGAACGUGACCGUAACCUUUUAUUGCUAUAAUAAUUAUUAAUAUAGCUUAAAAUUAAAGGGACCGCUGUCAUUAUUCAUAUGUGUUAAAAUAGAGUAAGAUUACGGCAAUAACAGGUCUGUGAUGCCCUCAGAUGUUCUGGGCUGCACACGUGCUACAAUAAUUACAUUAAUAAGUAUAUACAUUAUAUUUAUUAUAUAAAUUAAACCUAUUUCGAAAGUAAAUGGGCAAUCAUUUAAAAAUCGUGAUUAUUAUAAUACACAUAUUUAAUUUAAGGUGGGGAUAGUGUAUUGUUAAUUAUUACACUUGGCCUUAACUAGGAAUGCCUUGUACUCUUCUUUGGUUUAACAUACCAAGAGGAAUACGUCCCUGCCCUUUGUACACACCGCCCGUCGCUCUUACCGAUGAAUUAUAUUAUAAAUCUAAGGGACAAUAAUUAAUAUAAUUUAUGAAACAUAUAUACAUAAUGUGAUUUAAAGGAAAGAGAAGUCGUAACAAGGCAUCGGUAGGUGAACCU
rnacentral:rRNA from 1 species